UCACUUGAUCUUCAUUGCCACAAAAAAUCCUGGCCAUUCCAAAGUCUGAAAUUUUGGGAUUCAGCUCACGGUCCAAUAAGAUGUUACUUGGCUUCAGAUCUCUAUGAAUAAUUCUUAGUCUAGAAUCUCUGUGAAGGUAAAGAAGACCUCGACAAAUCCCGUUAAUAAUGUCGAAGCGUCUUUCCCAAUCUAGUUGUCCUUUCCUGAGUGAAUCUAAG